rnacentral:ncRNA from 1 species
AAAAAUACUUGGAAAAGGAAUAGUAACCGUACUAGGAUUUUCAGAGACUUGCUGGUUGGUGCGAAGCAAGAAUCAAAAUAGGGUGAACUCGCCUUGGAGUAGCUGACUGAAAAAUUACAGUAGGUUAAGCCGGAAUCCCACCGUUAUAAGGGAUAGAUAUUGACCAUAAAUGAUGUAUCGAAGGAACACGUAAGAGUGGUAUAGCAGAGUAACUUCUGUCUCUUUGGAGGCAGAAGUUUUUUUAUGGAAUGUAUCGAUAAAGUGCAUGCUUUUGGCAUGAAAAAGAGUGGUACCGCGGAAAUCCCCCAAUUCGUCUCUUAA